UUCACCUGUUUUACAAAAACAUGUCUUAAAGAUAAAAAUUUUAAGUCAAAUCUGCUCAAUGAAAUUAAACUUUUUAAUAGCUGCAGUAUAUAUAACUGUACAAAGGUAGCAUAAUAAAUUGUUUUUUAAUUAAAAACUAGAAUGAAUGAUUUAAUGAAAUAUAAACUGUCUCAAAUUAAUAUUAUAAAAUUAUUAUUUAAGUAAAAAAACUUAAAUAAAUUUUAAAGACGAGAAGACCCUAAAGAAUUUAAUUAUUUAUUUAAAUAAUAAUAAAAUAAAUUUUUAAAUUAAAUAAUUUAAUUGGGGAAAUUUUAAAAUUUAAUUAAUUUUUAAUUAAAAUUACAAUUAUUUUUGAAUAAAUAAUUUUUUUUAAAAAAAAAAAUUAAAUUACCUUAGGGAUAACAGCAUAAUUUUUUUAAAAAGUUCAAAUUUAUAUAAAAGUUUAUGACCUCGAUGUUGAAUAAGA
rnacentral:rRNA from 1 species